rnacentral:rRNA from 1 species
UACGUAGGCAGCGAGCGUUGUUCGGAGUUACUGGGCGUAAAGCGUGCGUAGGCGGUGUCUUAAGUUUGUUGUGAAAUCUCCCGGCUUAACUGGGAGGGUGCGGCGAAUACUGAGAUGCUGGAGUGCGGGAGAGGUAAGCGGAAUUCCUGGUGUAGCGGUGAAAUGCGUAGAUAUCAGGAGGAACACCUGCGGUGUAGACGGCUUACUGGACCGUAACUGACGCUGAGGCACGAAAGCGUGGGUAGCAAACAGG